rnacentral:rRNA from 1 species
CUCGUAGGCGGUUCGUCGCGUCCGGUGUGAAAGUCCAUCGCCUAACGGUGGAUCUGCGCCGGGUACGGGCGGGCUGGAGUGCGGUAGGGGAGACUGGAAUUCCCGGUGUAACGGUGGAAUGUGUAGAUAUCGGGAAGAACACCAAUGGCGAAGGCAGGUCUCUGGGCCGUUACUGCGCUGAGGAGCGAAAGCGUGGGGAGCGAACA